GAUGAACGCUAGCGGCAGGCUUAAUACAUGCAAGUCGUGGGGCAGCAGGUCUGUAGCAAUACAGAUGCUGGCGACCGGCAAACGGGCGCGUAACACGUACGCAACCUUCCCGUUACUGGGGAAUAGCCCAGGGAAACUUGGAUUAAUACCCCAUAUUAUAUUGGUUAGGCAUCUGACUGAUAUCAAAGCUUCGGCGGUAACGGAUGGGCGUGCGGUUGAUUAGGUAGUUGGCGGGGUAACGGCCCACCAAGCCUACGAUCAAUAGCUGAUGUGAGAGCAUGAUCAGCCACACGGGCACUGAGACACGGGCCCGACUCCUACGGGAGGCAGCAGUAAGGAAUAUUGGGCAAUGGACGAAAGUCUGACCCAGCCAUGCCGCGUGAAGGAUGAAGGUCCUCUGGAUUGUAAACUUCUUUUAUCUGGGGCGAAAAACGGUUAUUCUUAGCCGCUUGACAGUACCAGAUGAAUAAGCACCGGCUAACUCCGUGCCAGCCGCCGCAGUAACAC
rnacentral:rRNA from 1 species